AAAUCUAGUAUAAUAAUAUUUAAAUUUACAUAUAUUUUUCACGUUUUCAAUGCCAAGUUUGUGUAAUGGCGAAAUUUCCCACUACCCGUGAAUGCCUCUUUUUUUACGUCUCUGGCUGACUCCUUAAUCUCCGCCCACUCUCUGCUGGAUCCCUGCCGAGUGAAAGAGAUCUUUGGUUUUGCCUUUGCUGACUGCUGAUCUGAUCGUCUCAAGUCUGGUGACCUGCUGCAGAAAACCCUCUCCCUCUAUCGUUGACAAGCAAUUAACAAGCAAUUUCAGUCUGUCCUAUCACUCUCCCUCUCCCUGCUCCAUCUUUUUUGACAAGCCAUUCUAUCUUCUAUCAUUUCUCCGCCAUGAGCUCUAUCUAAUUUUGACAAGCUUAAACCUGUGUUGACAAGAAACCAAGUUUGACAAGAAACCAAGUUUGACAAGAAACCAAGUUUGACAAAAAAACAAGUUUUUGGAAAUUGAGGUUACCACAACUUCGACGAUCUGUUUUCAGAAAUCUGAGAGAUCUCUGCUCUCACUGCUCCUUCUUUCCUGUCGUUAAACUCAUCCACUCAUUUUACUGGAAAUUACAAGUAGAAUGUUGAAUAUACAGUAGUAGAAUUACAGUACAGUAGAACUCACAGUAGAAACUACUUACACAGCCCUACACUUGUCAUUUUAAUUUUGCAUUACACUUUGGAAUAAACAUUGAUUGGCUGUUUGGCUUACAGGUGCAAUUGCUUUAAUAAAUUAUAUAAAAUAUACACCUCUUCUUAAAGGUUUAUUUGUAAUAAGACAAUCUGGUUAUUUUGUAAUAUAUACAUUCAGACUGCUGUAUUUACAUAAAUAUUAAAUUAGAUUCAAAUACAUUUUUUAAGUCUGUUUCAUUGAUUGUAACAUUUGACUACAAGUUUAAACUAUUAUUAUUUAAGGACAAACCCUUUUUUGUCACUCAGUGUAAGUGUUCAGUUACAAUUGUUAUCUAGAGGCUGCCCUGAGAACCCAGACUUCCUGUUUCCUGACUGCUGCAGAACAUCCAGCUGAAGAAUCCCCAUCGCCUGUCAUCUGAUCACCACACCAUCACAGCUCCUUAUAUUUGCUUUAAAUUUUAGAUAUCUGAAAGAUUUACACAAAGUCUACUUCAAAGCUAAGAGUUUU
ensembl:lncRNA